rnacentral:lncRNA from 1 species
CCGAUUAGAACAUAAUACUCUAAGCACCUCCACAAAAAUUGAGAUAUGAAACAAUUCCCUCAUAUAUUGAAAAAAGGCCUCAAACAUCAGGCACCACAUUUCUGUCAAAACCAAUGCCUCCUCUUGCUGCCAAAUGCAACCAAAUUACUUAACAAAUGCUCCGAAAUACUCACUCCUUCACAAUACACCCUUUGCACCCAAACUGAAACUAGAAUCAUUUUGAACCUCUUAGAUCAAAUACCAUUACUUCUUAAUAGGAAGUAUGCAUUAUGCAAUACACCCUUCGGGACCGUAAAAAAGUAUUAUGUAUAGCUCUGUCAUUAGUACAAUUCAAUUCAAUCUGUGAAAAACUCUCUGUUACUCAUUUGUUUAGAGUUACACUGAUAUGGUACACAGAUCUCAUUCAAAAUGAAUCUUUAACACAUACCAGCACUUCAAUCAAUUAUAUUACAUUGACAUAGUAGUAUCUAUGGGUGUCUUAAUACUUACG